GUUGAAUCACCGUUUCCCGUAUGAUCACCGAAGUUAAGCAAAGUCGAACCUGGUCAGUAUCACGAUGGAUGACUGCUUGAGAGUACCAGGUGUUGUAU